GGGACACGUGGUAUCCUGUCUGAAUAUGGGGGGACCAUCCUCCAAGGCUAAAUACUCCUGACUGACCGAUAGUGAACCAGUACCGUGAGGGAAAGGCGAAAAGAACCCCGGCGAGGGGAGUGAAAAAGAACCUGAAACCGUGUACGUACAAGCAGUGGGAGCACGCUUAGGCGUGUGACUGCGUACCUUUUGUAUAAUGGGUCAGCGACUUAUAUUCUGUAGCAAGGUUAACCGAAUAGGGGAGCCGAAGGGAAACCGAGUCUUAACUGGGCGUUAAGUUGCAGGGUAUAGACCCGAAACCCGGUGAUCUAGCCAUGGGCAGGUUGAAGGUUGGGUAACACUAACUGGAGGACCGAACCGACUAAUGUUGAAAAAUUAGCGGAUGACUUGUGGCUGGGGGUGAAAGGCCAAUCAAACCGGGAGAUAGCUGGUUCUCCCCGAAAGCUAUUUAGGUAGCGCCUCGUGAAUUCAUCUCCGGGGGUAGAGCACUGUUUCGGCAAGGGGGUCAUCCCGACUUACCAACCCGAUGCAAACUGCGAAUACCGGAGAAUGUUAUCACGGGAGACACACGGCGGGUGCUAACGUCCGUCGUGAAGAGGGAAACAACCCAGACCGCCAGCUAAGGUCCCAAAGUCAUGGUUAAGUGGGAAACGAUGUGGGAAGGCCCAGACAGCCAGGAUGUUGGCUUAGAAGCAGCCAUCAUUUAAAGAAAGCGUAAUAGCUCACUGGUCGAGUCGGCCUGCGCGGAAGAUGUAACGGGGCUAAACCAUGCACCGAAGCUGCGGCAGCGACGCUGAUGCGUUGUUGGGUAGGGGAGCGUUCUGUAAGCCUGCGAAGGUGUGCUGUGAGGCAUGCUGGAGGUAUCAGAAGUGCGAAUGCUGACAUAAGUAACGAUAAAGCGGGUGAAAAGCCCGCUCGCCGGAAGACCAAGGGUUCCUGUCCAACGUUAAUCGGGGCAGGGUGAGUCGACC
rnacentral:rRNA from 1 species